AUGCGCCGAGCUACCCAGCGAUCUACGCCAGUAUUUUUCGAUCCUCGUGGAGGAUUACCGAAGGGCGCCCAACCCGGAAGCCCAGCGCAGCGCCGUGGAAGUGGCGGUGUGGACCCUAGAGGACGAGGACGGCGUGCUAGAACGCUCCAGUGUCCGUCACCUCUACGAGCAAUUGUGCGCGCGGCUUGGGGAGUUAAGCAGCGCACUCCGCACCACACCCGCCUCCACGCCGUCCGCUCGGGCCACGCCCAGCUCCACGUUUACUCCGCUGGGAGGACUUCCUGCACUCGUGCGGUCCCCUGUCUCCGUGGUCUCCAGCUCAGCCGUGUUCCGUUCAGUCUCCAGCUCAGCCGUGUUCCGUUCAGUCUCCAGCUCAGCCGCGCGCCGUUCAGUCUCCAGCUCAGCCGCGCGCCGUUCAGUCUCCAGCUCAGCCGCGCGCCGUUCAGUCUCCAGCUCAGCCGCGCGCCGUUCAGUCUCCAGCUCAGCCGCGCGCCGUUCAGUCUCCAGCUCAGCCGCGCGCCGUUCAGUCUCCAGCUCAGCCGCGCGCCGUUCAGUCUCCCUGUCGGCCAAGUAGAGGUCGUUCCAGUCCCUGUCGGCCAAGUUACGGCCGUUCCUGUCAGUCUCGGAGUGGCAGUCCCGGCCGACCUCCAGGAGGGGGUCGCGCCCGUCGUAGUUCCUGCCGACCUCCAGGAGGGGGUCGCGCCCGUCGUAGUUCCUGCCGACCUCCAGGAGGGGGUCGCGCCCGUCUGCUCGGCUCCGGCCGCACCUGCAUCGGUUCCUGGCGGCUCGGCUCCGGCCGCGUCUCCACGUCUGUCUUUGUCUCUGGUUCCUGCCUCGUCUCUGUCUCUGCUGCCGGACUGGUGGCCUCGCCCUCGGCGCAUCCUGCUGCUUGGAUGGCGCUGCCUCCUGUGGCGCCGUCCGCCUCAACUCCUCAACCCCCUGGAUCAGCGUCCGCCAGGAGGACAUCGCCGUUCGGGGGGGUCCCCGUGGACGCUGGCCCAGCCCAAGGGCACUGGGUGUGCCCCCCUGCCUCAGCGGCGGCUGGGCAGGAUCUCGCCGCGUCUCCACCCGCCUUAA
rnacentral:lncRNA from 1 species